rnacentral:rRNA from 1 species
CCCCCGCCAGAGGACCCCUAACUCUGUUUUUAUAAUGUUUUUCUGAGUAAACAAGCAAAUAAAUUAAAACUUUCAACAACGGAUCUCUUGGCUCUGGCAUCGAUGAAGAACGCAGCGAAAUGCGAUAUGUAAUGUGAAUUGCAGAAUUCAGUGAAUCAUCGAAUCUUUGAACGCACAUUGCGCCCGCCAGUAUUCUGGCGGGCAUGCCUGUUCGAGCGUCAUUACAACCCUCAGGCCCCCGGGCCUGGCGUUGGGGAUCGGCGGAAGCCCCCUGUGGGCACACGCCGUCCCUCAAAUACAGUGGCGGUCCCGCCGCAGCUUCCAUUGCGUAGUAGCUAACACCUCGCAACUGGAGAGCGGCGCGGCCAUGCCGUAAAACACCCAACUUCUGAAUGUUGACCUCGAAUCAGGUAGGAAUACCCGCUGAACUUAAGCAUAUCAAUAAGCGGAGGA